UCCAGAGGAAACACGCCGCUUGAUUCGCUUUCGAGCUGAGAAUGAGCAGCGAUUUCUGAAAUCCAAAGCUGCUGCUAAAAAGCUUUGGGAGACGCUGAUCAAGGAGCUUGGCCUGGAGGGAAAGGUGACCUCCCAGCAAGCAUCAAAAAAGUGGGAGAACUUGAAAAAGAAGUAUAAGGAGCUGAAAAAUCCACUCUCUGG